UUCUCAGGAUAGGCCCUAUGCGUGUGUUGGUUACUUGCGGUGGGUAAUGGGUUCAUAGACUAGAGGAAGAAGAUCGAAGAGGUUCAGAACUUCAGAUCACAGAGAAUAAGUCAGACUCGCCAGUUGUAGCUAUCUGUAUUUCUUUCAAGGGAAAUAACUCAAGCAUUUCCCAGCUUUGUCCUGAACAAUGAAGUUCAAGAUUAGAAGUAGUCGUUAGACGGAGACGCUGAUAUUUGUUCGCCCUUGUCCCACACCACUGCAUGGGCCCGGCACACCCCCCUCCUCCUAUUCAAUUUAAAUAACUCUAGCACGACUACAUUCCGGAGUUUAUCUGUCGGCCAAGGGGCCUGUUUGGCAAUACGUCAUUACCGUGGGCCGCAACAUUUUCUCAUCCGUGGGCCUUUUGGGCUACAGCUAUCUGAGAGUGGCCUUCAUGGAAGAGACGAGAAUACCCUUCGUCUUCAAGCACUUGUCUAUUUGCUCAGGAACUGACAUCUUAGGCUGAAUUUGGGUGGGUAGGAUUUUAGAGUCAAGUCCUGGUGUUCACUUUUCUUAUCUUUCAUUUGUAAUUUUCUAAGUUUUUAUUACAUCGUCAGGUUAGGUGUAACUUUACUAUAGUGGAAUGAAUUAUAUAUUUUAAAAAAAAAAAAGAUUUUCCCA